UACAGAGGGUUCAAGCGUUGUUCGGAAUCACUGGGCGUAAAGAGCGCGCAGGCGGCUGGUCAAGUCCGAUGUGAAAUCUCCCGGCUCAACUGGGAAACUGCAUCGGAAACUGAUCGGCUUGAAGAUGGGAGAGGGUAGUGGAAUUCCCGGUGUAGUGGUGAAAUGCGUAGAUAUCGGGAGGAACACCGGUGGCGAAGGCGGGUCUCUGGGCCGAUACUGACGCUGAGGAGCGAAAGCGUGGGGAGCGAACAGG
rnacentral:rRNA from 1 species